rnacentral:rRNA from 1 species
GCAAGUCGUACGUGAAAGAUUCCUUCGGGAAGCAAGUAAAGUGGCGCACGGGUGAGUAACACGUGGAUAAUAUACCCAGUAAUCCGGGAUAACAUCUCGAAAGAGAUGCUAAUACCUGAUAAGCCCACGAUCUCUUCGGAGAACGAGGGAAAAGGUGGGGAGCUUCAGGCCUGUCGUUGCUGGAUGAGUCUGCGGCCCAUUAGCUAGUUGGUAGGGUAAUGGCCUACCAAGGCUACGAUGGGUAGCUGGUCUGAGAGGAUGAUC